AUUUGCUGAUGACCUUCAUGCCAGAUGCCCACUUGAGAGCCUGGAGAGAGUGGCAUGUAGCACUUUCUGCCUGCUGAGUGGCCUGCACACGCCCCUGGGAUCUCUGGCUCCAGAGCCUGUGUUUAUCCUGCUAUGGCAAACCACACUGCCUUCUCUAAGGCAGCAUCUCCUGGUGGGAAGAGUAUCAUCUGCUUUGAAGUUCUGUGAAUGGACCAGAGGAAGUGAAAUGAAGAAAAGAGACCAAAUAGGAGGCUGUUGCUGUGGUCCAGGCAGGGGGUGCUGAUGGCAGGAGAUGCUGGAGGCCAGAGCCAGGGCGGGUAGUCACUGGUCAGCAGAGGAUGCCAUAUGCCCCGUCUGAAGAUAUUGGAAAGGAGGAGAAGAAAGAGGAAAGCAGAGAAGAUCGCCUCGCAGAGGCCAGGCUGCAGCCUGGGCUCCGUGCACCUCUGCCUGCUGACGGGAUCCACCUCAGGUCAAGAAGGUGCUGGCUCACCCUUCCCUCAAGAUUUUAGAGAUCCCAGUGCAUGUCCUGGAAAUCCUUUAAAAUUCAAAGAAAACAAGCAAAGCUCUGGCUAAUUAAAUGUUUUCUGCUUACCGUCGUUAACAUAUUAAUGCGACAGGCUAAAUGUAUUACUCAGUGGUGCAGAAGCUCUUAGGUCUGUGCACCCCUUUUUGAGAGGAUUUCUCCAUGUGGCAUCCGUGUUUACAGUGCACUGGCUUUCUGUUCAUAGGGCUUUUACGUGGGGGCGAUGGCAUGGCAGAAAGCAUCCCCAGGGUGAGAAGGGGAUGGGGAGGUCCACAUUGCAGUUCAGACCCCCUGGACAUCUGCCUUUGAGAUAGCCACGUCCCUGAGCCUUUCCUUUCAAAGGAUGGUGGAUCAGUUUCUAAUGUUCCCAUUUUGACCUCUCAGACUCAGGAACUGGGGCUAGAGCACAGGUCCUCUCGUUGAGGUCACUGUAGCGCUUCAGCGGCAUCAGCACUCUUGCUUUCUUUUGCACAUCCUUGGUUUUCAGUUAUUAUGGGUACACAGCGAGCCACCCCAAAAUUAGUACAACAAUAGCCAUUUUGCUGUGUUCAUGGAUUCUGUGGGUAAGGAAUUGGGAAGGAGCCCAGGGUGUGGUGCGUCAGUUGGGAAGAUUUGAGUUGAUAGUAGGUUUGCUCACUCCUGUGUCUGUGGCGCACGUGGCCUCUGUGUGGCUGGGCUUCCUUGCAGCAUGGCACCCUGAGCCGCCUUCCACGGGGGCUUGCUCAGGGCUCCCAGCACAAGUGUUCCAGCCAACAGGGUGGAUUCCACAGCGCCUUUUCUGGCCCAGUCUCUGCCACAUUGAAUCAUCUGUACCUGGCGAGGUCCUGACUUCCUUUCUGCCAGAUCCUUCUCUGGUCCUCAAGGUCCCUUACUGUUUUUGCCCCUGGUUACAACCUCCUGUGUACCUGUCCUGGAGUGUUGUGGUUAGGAGUGUGGUCUCGGGCGCAGACUGAAAUACACUGCUGUGUGCAGUAGGAACCUUGGCUGCUGCCCUGUGUUCAUGGCAAGCACUUCAGAGCUGAGCCUGGUGUGAGGCGAGUCCUCCAUCAACGGCCUUGACUUUUCUUUCCCAGACUAAAGUGCAGGUUCCUUCAGGGAAGCUCUCUCUUGGUCAUCUCUGCCUGGCAUUUCCUGCAGGACUUGGCAAGUACUGCGUUCCCUCUGCUUGGGCGGUCUGCGCUGGGUCUGUCUCCUGUUCUGUAAGUCUCACAAAUUCACCCUCUCAGAGCAGCCGUCUCUGCCUGUCCCCUGCUAGGAGCUGUGGUGACCUCUACUCAUCUUGUUUCCUUUUGUUCAUGACACUAGCUCUAAUGAAAAUGUUUCAUCCCCUCUUUGUUUCUGUUAGACCAGGAUAUGAACCCCACCAGAGCCAGAUCUGGGCCUGUCUCCUUCCCUGCUAUUCAGUGCCUACAAGAGGGUCUGGGUCAAAAAUGAAUGGAGAGGAGGAAGGGAGGGGUAAAAAGAUCGACUUCAGGAAGAUUUCAGAAACACGGUGCUGAGAAUAGUAGGGUCAUGUACCAGGGUGGGAUUUACUUCCUUUUUAUACACUUAAAAAAUCUCAAAGACAUCCAUUCAGCUUUCAGUUUAGGUGAAAUCUAUUCGUAAUAAAAAUAAAAUGAUAUCUCAACGACAAUUUAAUUUUGAGUAAAAAUAUUUUCUGGAGGGCAGGGGGCUCUAAAUACAAAGAAGCAAAGAAGUGCAUCACCUCUCCCCAGUGGGGCUCAUGGCCCUUGAUGGAGCCACCUGGAGCCCAGGCACUUUGCGGUUUAUUCCUGGGUCGCCUCCACCUCCGUCCCUCAGUUAUGGGGCUGUGAUGGUCCACAGCAAGCCCCCAUUCUUGCUGCUCCACUGGUGUGAUUUUCUUGGGACCGAAAUGGGGAGAGGACAGGAUUGUGUGUUUUGCGAAAGCACAGCGUUGGACGUUCAUUGGUGUUCCUCUGUGCUUCCAUGACUUGAGGGCAACCAUCUAGCAGUUUACAGGGGUUCUGAAUAAAUUCCGGGGACCUGGAAAUUAUUGGAUUUAUUUUAUUUUAAGCAGAAACAUUUUAUGUUUAGUGUGGUAACGGCGUGCUCCACUUAGUGUGGUCAUGCCUAGCUCUCUUGUUUUGUGUCCACUUUGGAGUCUGGCUCUGGGCAAGCACUCAAAUGCUCAUAGGAAUCCCAUGGCUCAGGGCAUCCUCUGAACCCAAGGGCCUCUAAAGGGGGAACAGCAACGUGGGAAUGUGGGUGGGGACAGCGAGUGAGGGGCCGGGUGCAGGGUGACGGCAGGUGUAGGUUCUGCACGAUGCACACUGCACUGCAUGGGGGCACUGUGCGUUCCCCAGCAGAGCACAAUGAUGCCGCAGAGUGUGAAGUCACAGGUCUCCGCACUCAGCGGGGAGCGGAGGUGCUUGGGUUUGAGAACCGGGGGGGAGCAGGCAGCUUGGGGCCAGCAGAUCCACCCCUCUGCUCUUGGGGAGCUUUUGGCGGUCUGCUGGGUGAGGGCGUGGUGGUCACUGGUGGGUUCACGUGAUUCCCCGUCAUUCUGUCCCUAUGGCCCCGCCCUCCCUGACUGUGCCGUCAGUGGUCAGUGUACCUCCGUGCCCUCUGUGGUUGAACGUUAGUCAUGAUCACAGGACUUUAAUGAUCUUAUUGAGUACCCAGUGCCGGCCUCAAUUUUUACUUGGAGAAUGUGGGGUUUACAUGACAAAAUAUGACUCAUGCACGCAUGCUGACUGCCUGAAUUAGGGGCUCUUGGGCUUAGCUGCUGGUUGGAGUCAUCCGGGAGCUUCAGGAAGCUCCAAGCCCAGGCCCUCCCUCCCAGAGGUGGGGCUGAACGGACCUGGGGUGCAACCUGGGCUCUGGGGCUCAGGAGCUGCUGGAGGCUGAGGGGAGCCAGCAGGGCACCUGUGGGGUUCUCUGGGUGGUCCAGCGGAAGCUAAUGCUGGGCUCUGGAGAGGGGAGUGAGCAGCAGUGCGGAGUUCAAACCCUCAUCACAGACCUGGCUGCUCAGGGCGGCAUGACCUUUUGGAAGAGUAUGUGGGCGAGAAAUUGGAUGAUUUAUCUAAAAUAGAUGCCAGCAUGGUGUGAGUGGGUGACUUUGUUUAGAUGUAACUGUGCAUAGAUUAGGCUGUUUGGAUGUGUUUAAUUAUGGCAUGUGAUGGCGCCACUUCACCAAUCAUUUGUAUUAAAUGUCCUCAAGCCUAGUUUGAGACUUUAGGUCAAGUUAAAACUGUUUUAUCUGUCAGCACCUGGGAGACUCGGGAAGGACUGUCACUGCAGGACCAGUCCUAACUCUCCCUAUCAUGUGCAUCACAGGAUGUCAAGCUGUUCUGCAGAAGUAGCAGAGCCGAAGCUGCAGUCGUAUGACCUGGGCAUGUGGAGAGCAGGAAACUGUCACCUCAGUAACACUUAGAACCAACGUUUCCUCCCUGAGGAAUCAAAAAGCCUGGGCAUCACUGGAAGCUGAACACGGGAACCCUUUCAGAAACGAGCGGUCUGUUAUCCAGGAAGAGCCAGUGCUGAAGUCCACCAUUCCGCGCCUUACCGUAAAUAACCACAUUUAAAGCUGUCCCAUCAAAAUCCGCCCCGCCAGUGCGUCUGCAUACCAACCUGCCCUCCCCAGCCCGUUAGAGUCUCACCUGACCUAAUACUGGGGAUUCAGAUCUGAGCCCUGCCUCCUGUCUCCUUGCUGGUUGGCCUUGCAAUAAAGCCUUUUCUUUUCUCAAAAGUA